ensembl:snRNA U6 U6 spliceosomal RNA
GUGCUUGCUUUGGCAGCACAUAUACUAAAAUUGGAAUGAUACAGAGAAGAUUAGUAUGGCCUCUGCAGAAGGAUGACAUGAAAAUUCAUGAAGUUUUUCAUAUGUUU